GAUGAACGCUAGCUACAGGCUUAACACACGCAAGUCGAGGGGAAACGAUAUUGGAAGCUUGCUUCCGAUAGGCGUCGACCGGCGCACGGGUGAGUAACGCGUAUCCAACCUGCCCACCACUUGGGGAUAACCUUGCGAAAGUAAGACUAAUACCCAAUGACGUCCAUAGAAGACAUCUGAAAUGGAUUAAAGAUUUAUCGGUGAUGGAUGGGGAUGCGUCUGAUUAGCUUGUUGGCGGGGUAACGGCCCGCCAAGGCGACGAUCAGUAGGGGUUCUGAGAGGAAGGUCCCCCACAUUGGAACUGAGACACGGUCCAAACUCCUACGGGAGGCAGCAGUGAGGAAUAUUGGUCAAUGGGCGAGAGCCUGAACCAGCCAAGUAGCGUGCAGGAUGACGGCCCUAUGGGUUGUAAACUGCUUUUAUAAGGGAAUAAAGUGAGCCUCGUGAGGCUUUUUGCAUGUACCUUAUGAAUAAGGACCGGCUAAUUCCGUGCCAGCCGCCGCGGUAA
rnacentral:rRNA from 1 species